CUCGCGUGUCGUGCCAGCAGCCGCGGUAAUACAGAGGGUGCAAGCGUUAAUCGGAAUUACUGGGCGUAAAGCGCGCGUAGGUGGUUCGUUAAGUUGGAUGUGAAAUCCCCGGGCUCAACCUGGGAACUGCAUUCAAAACUGUCGAGCUAGAGUAUGGUAGAGGGUGGUGGAAUUUCCUGUGUAGCGGUGAAAUGCGUAGAUAUAGGAAGGAACACCAGUGGCGAAGGCGACCACCUGGACUGAUACUGACACUGAGGUGCGAAAGCGUGGGGANCAAACAGGAUUAGAUACCCUGGUAGUCCACGCCGUAAACGAUGUCAACUAGCCGUU
rnacentral:rRNA from 1 species